GAAAGAUGGUUCUACUAUCACUCUUGGAUGGACCUGCGGUGCAUUAGCUAGUUGGUAAGGUAACGGCUUACCAAGGCAAUGAUGCAUAGCCGAGUUGAGAGACUGAUCGGCCACAUUGGGACUGAGACACGGCCCAAACUCCUACGGGAGGCAGCAGUAGGGAAUCUUCCACAAUGGACGAAAGUCUGAUGGAGCAACGCCGCGUGAGUGAAGAAGGGUUUCGGCUCGUAAAGCUCUGUUGGUAGUGAAGAAAGAUAGAGGUAGUAACUGGCCUUUAUUGACGGUAAUUACUUAGAAAGUCACGGCUAACUACGUGCCAGCAGCCGCGGUAAUACGUAGGUGGCAAGCGUUGUCCGGAUUUAUUGGGCGUAAAGCGAGUGCAGGCGGUUCAAUAAGUCUGAUGUGAAAGCCUUCGGCUCAACCGGAGAAUUGCAUCAGAAACUGUUGAACUUGAGUGCAGAAGAGGAGAGUGGAACUCCAUGUGUAGCGGUGGAAUGCGUAGAUAUAUGGAAGAACACCAGUGGCGAAGGCGGCUCUCUGGUCUGCAACUGACGCUGAGGCUCGAAAGCAUGGGUAGCGAACAGGAUUAGAUACCCUGGUAGUCCAUGCCGUAAACGAUGAGUGCUAAGUGUUGGGAGGUUUCCGCCUCUCA
rnacentral:rRNA from 1 species